GACAGAGGUGCCGAGCGUUAGGCGGAAUCACUGGGCUUAAAGCGUGUGUAGGCGGACUUCUAAGUACCUUGUGAAAUCCCAUGGCUCAACCGUGGAACUGCUGGGUAUACUGGCGAUCUUGAGCCACCUAGGGGCGAGCGGAACAAGCGGUGGAGCGGUGAAAUGCGUAGAUAUCGCUUGGAACGCCAACGGUGAAAACAGCUCGCUGGGGGUGUGCUGACGCUGAGACACGAAAGCCAGGGGAGCGAACGGG
rnacentral:rRNA from 1 species